GGUGCCCGCGCGCCGAAAGGCGUGUCCCUCGGGGCACUGCGCUGCAACGGCCUGCGGGCUCCCCAUCCGACCCGUCUUGAAACACGGACCAAGGAGUCUGACAUGCGUGCGUCGACGGGUUUUGAAACCUGGGAUGCCGAAGGAAGCUGACGAGCGGGAGGCCCUCACGGGCCGCACCGCUGGCCGACCCUGAUCUUCUG
rnacentral:ncRNA from 1 species